UGGGGAAUUUUGGACAAUGGGCGAAAGCCUGAUCCAGCAAUGCCGCGUGUGUGAAGAAGGCCUUCGGGUUGUAAAGCACUUUUGUCCGGAAAGAAAUCCUUGGCUCUAAUACAGUCGGGGGAUGACGGUACCGGAAGAAUAAGCACCGGCUAACUACGUGCCAGCAGCCGCGGUAAUACGUAGGGUGCAAGCGUUAAUCGGAAUUACUGGGCGUAAAGCGUGCGCAGGCGGUUUGCUAAGACCGAUGUGAAAUCCCCGGGCUCAACCUGGGAAACUGCAUUGGUGACUGGCAGGCUAGAGUAUGGCAGAGGGGGGUAGAAUUCCACGUGUAGCAGUGAAAAUGCGUAGAGAUGUGGAGGAAUACCGAUGGCGAAGGCAGCCCCCUGGGCCAAUACUGACGCUCAUGCACGAAAAGCGUGGGGAGCAAAACAGGAUUAGAUACCCUGGUAGUCCACGCCCUAAAACGAUGUCAACUAGUUGUUGGGGAUUCAUUUCCUUAGUAACGUAGCUAACGCGUGAAGUUGACCGCCUGGGGGAGUACGGUCGCAAGAUUAAAAACUCAAAUG
rnacentral:rRNA from 1 species